rnacentral:rRNA from 1 species
GAUGAACGCUAGCGGCAGGCCUAAUACAUGCAAGUCGGACGGGAUUCAGGAGCUUGCUUCUGAUGAGAGUGGCGCACGGGUGCGUAACACGUAUGUAACCUACCUUUAUCAGGGGGAUAGCCUCUCGAAAGAGAGAUUAAGCCCGCAUAAAAUCACAGCACAGCAUUGUGUAAUGAUCAAAUAUUUAUAGGAUAAAGAUGGGCAUGCGGAACAUUAGCUAGAUGGCGGGGUAACGGCCCACCAUGGCGACGAUGUUUAGGGGAUCUGAGAGGAUGGCCCCCCACACUGGUACUGGGACACGGACCAGACUCCUACGGGAGGCAGCAGUAAGGAAUAAUGGUCAAUGGGCGGAAGCCUGAACCAGCCAUGCCGCGUGCAGGAAGACGGCCCUACGGGUUGUAAACUGCUUUUAUACGGGAAUAAACCCAGAUACGUGUAUCUGGCUGAAUGUACUGUAAGAAUAAGGAUCGGCUAACUCCGUG